rnacentral:rRNA from 1 species
UACGUAGGGUGCAAGCGUUAAUCGGAAUUACUGGGCGUAAAGCGUGCGCAGGCGGUUCUAUAAGACAGAUGUGAAAUCCCCGGGCUCAACCUGGGAACUGCAUUUGUGACUGUAGAGCUGGAGUACGGCAGAGGGGGAUGGAAUUCCGCGUGUAGCAGUUAAAUGCGUAGAUAUCGUUUGGAACGCCAAUGGUGAAAACAACUCGCUGGGGAAGUGCUGACGCUGAGACACGAAAGCCAGGGGAGCGAACGGG